GGGAGAAUUCACACUGAAGAAACAAUGAAGAAACUUUAUGAAGAAUUAAACUACCCAUCAGAAUAUUUUGGGUGAAUGAAGCAAGCAAAAAUAAACAGGCACUAAAGAGACUCCCAAAUGCUAAGCUACCUCUAGCAUUGUGUGCAUCAACCUUAUCAUCUAGGUGGACGUCCCUGGAAAAUAUACUGCCAAGAGUCUUUCUAGAGAAGGGCAUCUAAAAAGGGAGAGAAACAGGAAUUGCUCAUAUGCAGUUUGAAGUGCCCGGCUAUUCAAUACAACCAGUUAGCAUCUCUGAGUUUGCUAAAGGGCUCGGUUCACCUUCGUCAUUGAUCCU